UCCUAACCGUGCAAAGGUAGCAUAAUCAUUUGCCUAUUAAUUGUAGGCUAGAAUGAAAGGAUAAACGAGGAUAAUACUGUCUCCAUUAGGCCAAUAAAAAUUAACCUUCAAGUGAAGAGGCUUAAAUUAAAUCGCAGGACAAGAAGACCCUAUAGAGCUUUAUCUUAUAGCAUAUAUAUUAAUGCUUAACGAUUCGGUUGGGGCGACCAGGGGCUAAUACUCACCCCUAAAUUUUAAGACCUACAAGUCUCACCAAAGAUCCUAACAUUAGAUCAUAGAAUCCAGCUACCUUAGGGAUAACAGGCUAAUUCCUCUUGAGAGUUCUUAUCAACAGAGGAGGUUGGCACCUCGAUGUUGGCUUAGGGUCUCUUC
rnacentral:rRNA from 1 species